rnacentral:rRNA from 1 species
AAUCAACGCUGGCGGCGUGCCUCAGACAUGCAAGUCGAACGCGAAAGUCCCCUUCGGGGGGCAAGUAGAGUGGCGCACGGGUGAGUAAUGCUUAGGAAUCUGCCUAGUAGUGGGGGAUAACCCGGGGAAACUCGGGCUAAUACCGCAUACGCCCUACAGGGGAAAGCGGGGGACUUUCGGGCCUCGCGCUAUUAGAUGAGCCUAAGUCCGAUUAGCUAGUUGGUAGGGUAAUGGCCUACCAAGGCGACGAUCGGUAGCUGGUCUGAGAGGACGACCAGCCACACUGGGACUGAGACACGGCCCAGACUCCUACGGGAGGCAGCAGUGGGGAAUAUUGGACAAUGGGCGCAAGGCCUGAUCCAGCGAUGCCGCGUGUGUGAAGAAGGCCUGCGGGUUGUAAA